rnacentral:rRNA from 1 species
UACGUAGGGCGCAAGCGUUGUCCGGAAUUAUUGGGCGUAAAGAGCUCGUAGGCGGUUUGUCGCGUCUGCUGUGAAAACCUCAGGCUCAACCUCGGGCCUGCAGUGGGUACGGGCAGACUAGAGUGCGGUAGGGGAGAUUGGAAUUCCUGGUGUAGCGGUGGAAUGCGCAGAUAUCAGGAGGAACACCGAUGGCGAAGGCAGAUCUCUGGGCCGUAACUGACGCUGGAGGAGCGAAAAGCGUGGGGAGCGAAACAGG